GGAGCCACGGAGGCAGCAGUGAGGAAUAUUGGUCAAUGGGCGAGAGCCUGAACCAGCCAAGUCGCGUGAGGGAAGACGGUCCUAUGGAUUGUAAACCUCUUUUGCCGGGGAGCAAAAAGCGGUACGUGUACCGCAUCGAGAGUACCCGGAGAAAAAGCAUCGGCUAACUCCGUGCCAGCAGCCGCGGUAAUACGGAGGAUGCGGGCGUUAUCCGGAUUUAUUGGGUUUAAAGGGUGCGCAGGCGGCGAGUUAAGUCAGCGGUAAAAUUUCGGGGCUCAACCCCGACGAGCCGUUGAAACUGGCUU
rnacentral:rRNA from 1 species